AUUGUUGAAUGUAAAACUAGUUGGUAGCAUGGUGUCGUGAAAGCAACAGGUGCCAGUGUUCUUGUGAGAUGUUAAGUAUGAGUCAUUGAUUUAAAAAGGUGGCUUGUAGAUUUUGAGAGUUGCUUUCACUUAAUACUAGUUGAAGGGAGCUGAAUACUGAAUACAAGACAGAUGGUUCACAUGGCAGCAUCUGUAAGGGGGGUUCAUAAACUUGUAUCCUCCUCCCGGAUUGAAAAACUGCUUUCCCUUCCACGUUCCAAACAGCAUCUGCCACCGUGGGUUGAGAUUGUGCGCCAUUUUAGCUUUACUGAUGAUUUCAGUGGCAGAAGCAAAUAUACUACUGGGGAACGUGAUGAUUUUCUUCGUCAACAGCCAGACUCAAGUUUUGAAGACAAUGGUAGUAACCGAAACCAUGAGGCAUAUAAUGUUGAACAGGGAUUGUCAGAUUCAAUUCCAAGUAGACCUUUGAGAAGUAGGAAGCCAAUUAAUCAGCCUCCUCCACGUUUUCGAGAAUCAGGGAGAGUUUCCUUUCCUCCAAGAUUUGAUGAUAGCCAUGGUGCGCCUGGUGCUUUGGACAACUCAAAUAAAUCUUCCAAAAUUGAUCUUGCAUUUCAGGGCACGAAUGGGGCAGAAACAAAUAGGGACUUGGGGCAAUCAGGAGACAGUUUCCUUGACAAAUUCAAGCUUGCUUUUGAUGACAAAACAGUGAAUCAGUCAGAGGUUGCAGCAAGCGUGCAAUCUGAAGAAGCAAAGUGGUCAGAUUCCAAUUCAAAGGCUCAGGAGCCUGUGCCACAAGAUGCCGAUGAGAUAUUCAAGAAGAUGAAGGAGACUGGCCUUAUCCCUAAUGCUGUGGCUAUGCUCGAUGGUCUAUGUAAAGAUGGUCUGGUUCAAGAAGCCUUGAAACUUUUUGGUUUGAUGCGGGAGAAGGGAACCAUUCCAGAGAUUGUCAUAUACACAGCAGUAGUGGAGGGAUACACAAAGGUCGACAAGGCUGAUGAUGCGAAAAGGAUUUUCAGGAAAAUGCAGAGUAGUGGCAUUUCUCCCAAUGCUUUCAGUUACACAGUCCUUAUACAAGGACUCUACAAGUGUAGAAGAUUACAGGAUGCUUUUGAAUUUUGUGUGGAGAUGUUAGAAGCGGGCCACUCACCAAAUGUGACAACUUUUGUAGGCCUGGUGGAUGGUUUCUGCAAGGAAAAAGGGGUUGAAGAAGCUAAAGAUGCUAUCAAAACAUUAACUAAAAAGGGCUUUGCUUUUGAUGAGAAAUCUGUUAGGCAGUUUUUGGACAAGAAAACACCAUUUUCACCCUCUGUUUGGGAGGCGAUUUUUGGGAAGAAAGCCCCGCAGAGACCAUUUUAACUAUUUUUCAUACCAUUUCUAGGCUUCUGGGCAUGGAUCAUGACCUUAAGUUCAUGGUGAUCAGGAAGCAAGAAGUAGAAGCUGUGAUCUAAGGAGACAGACUUGACCAAUUUGUGUUGAAUCAAGAAACGCAAUAGUGUUUCCUAUAUGAUGCUGUGGCGAUUGUGGCGUAAUCAAACAUUCAACGGAGACAAUAGGGAUCAGCUUCUGCUCUUUUGGCUCCUUGCUUCACUUUUUGAGUAUCUCAUUUGUGUAGUUUGUUGCACACUUUUGGUAGCUUGGGGGUAAGAUACACUGAUACAUCAUUCUUUCGAAUUCCAAAAUUUUGUGCUAAGUUCAUCAUAAAAGGCUCCUACUCUGUUUCUGAAUGCUUGUUGCGGAUCAACGCUCUGUUUGAUUCCUUUGAUCUUCCUGGGUUUUCUUGUGUACCUCAUUAACAUACUGAUGUGAUCUUGGAUGACAUUAUUGAGGUAGUUUGAUGCUUGUUAUGACAUUCAUCAAUAGUAGAAGUGAACCUCAUUAAAAGCAAUCUCUCAAAUUCAGUUUCUA